UUGUUCAUUUGCCCAAUCAAAUUGCAGCUUGUAAGAGCUGCGUACUGACCCCUAAUUUGUAAAUAGUGUCUCCAAAAAAAAAAAAAAAAAAAAAACUCCAGCCAGAGUGUCAGGCCCUUUUAACGUAUAUAACGGGAAGCGGUGGUUUUAUUUUACCUUUCGGACUUUUGAAAAAUAAAAUCGCUGAUACUCGGGCUAAAACAAACUCUUAACGAUGAAUAAAAAUCAUUAGCAUGAUCCCCUCCCCACGUUCAAACAAAUUGUAUCAUUUCACCUCUUGUGUCAAAAUUAACACUUCUCAAACUUGGCAAAAAAACCCUCAUGUGUUUGCUUAUAAGGCCUGUCACGUGAUUUGGAAAUCUCAGCGCCCUUGAUAAAAGGCCACGCCAUCGGAUGUCCGUUAGGUAUCACAUUUGCCCUGUUAGAUCCAGAAAACUGAGUAUUGACCAACAGUCCCAGCGUUGUUGGGAACACCAUACAACAUCGUUGUGCCCGGUUGUCAUUGUUUGUAGUUUGUGUUGCACGAUCUUGCGUGCUUCACUGUUUAUUAUUCCUUAACCUUUGCUUUGGCCAACCGAGCAAGGCGGUAACUGUCGCACAGAGCAGGUAUCACGGCGUCAUUUAACUUCAAAUCUCCUCUGAGGCGCGACUUACAGACACCUGUUAUAUAUAUAGCGCAGAAAAGCGGUGCAUCAUCAUCUCGUUGUCAUCUUGUCUUGUUUGGUUUCGUGAAAAUAAGCAGCAGCCAGCAUUACAUGGCCUUUUAGGUGACAACGCACUCUUAGAGGUUAGUUCAGCGCGCACCCCCAGCCAACCUUGACCGCCCACAAGGGUUUCCCUUGCUAACGAAUAGUCAAAUAACAGGCAUUUGAUAGUCAUAGAUAGAUGUAUAUCUGUAUCCCCCCCUUUACUCAGCAAGUCCUGGCUCGGCGCCUGCACUGCUGUUCGACAUUUAACCUCUUCACAAAAACAUUCGGCUACGUCUGAAUGUAGGCUAUGCCGUUAUAGACAGUUUUUUUUCUGCUUUGCCUGCAGCCCACACGCUAUGGCCAUAUAGAAGUGGUGUUAGUGUUAACGCGUUUGGACCAGGUGCCUACUUAGGGAGUACGUAAUGUUAGGUUUAACGCGUGUGGACCAGACGUGUAGUUAGGAGGUGUUUUAACGCGUGUGGACCAGACGUGUAGUUAGGAGGUGUUUUAACGCGUGUGGACCAGACGUGUAGUUAGGGGGUGUUUUAACGCGUGUGGACCAGACGUGUAGUUAGGGGGUGUGUAAUGUUAGGGUUAACGCGUGUGGACCAGACGCGUACUAGUUAGGGGGGGUGUGUAAUGUUAGGUUUAACGCGUGUGGACCAGACGUGUAGUUAGGGGGUGUGUAAUGUUAGGGUUAACGCGUGUGGACCAGGCGCGUACUUAGCCUGUAUAUCGGUAACAUGGCGAGGAACAUGUACUUCACCUUCGUACAGAUCGUGGCCACACUCAACAGCCAAUCACAUGGGUCGCCUUGAAAAAGUGACUGACAGCUGUCAAUCAAGAAGUCAGCUUUCAAAAGUCGUCGCGUUACUCACUGCUGUUGUGCUGAUGAAUGGCGUUCUUUGCUUGUCUAUCAUCAUUUUCCUAAGGCAUAAGGCAUACGCCAUAUUGGACUGAUAUCACGUGAUCACAUCUGAGCUUUACCCCACGUGAUACUGUAAGGGCCAAGUCGUGCCGAUCGGGUUUCGCGGGCGAUAGGAAGUGACGACACAGCAAGCCCCUCCUGUUGGGUUUCUCAGUAUAAUUUGGAUCAAACAAACCGAGCAAAAACGGUGACAACGAAUGAUUGGUAUGACGUUCAUUUCUAGGAAUACAGCAAAGGAACAACUCUUGGAAGAGCAGCAGCUAAAGUCUCAUCCUUCCACCGAAUUCUUUGUAAGAAGCGAAGUAACCGCCCCCCCCCCCCCCACCACCACCACCACCACCUAGUGAUUACAAUGUGUCGGUAGGCCCUCACGACCUCACGAGGAAAUCACGUGACUUUUUGAGUGGCAAGCCCACGCCGUCAGAAUGUGUUAUCAUUAGUUAUGAGCAACCCUUUUUGAAAUUAGAGACACUAGAUUAAAGAGACUAGAUUAUGCGAAGUUCAAGUUUUUAUAAGGGGAACUGUUAUACGCGAGAUAAAUAAAUUCACAAGACAUGCUUCACAAAGUAAAACAUUUAUUAUAUAAUUUAAUAUAUACAUAGCUAUAAUUCAAUCGUAAUCAAUAAAAUGUUAAAAUCUAUCCCCUUAUUCUCUUUAUUAUCUUAACGAAAAUAUAUAUUCACAGCUACUCUAAAGCUUUCUAUUUUCCCUGCGAGGAUGAAGUAUAGCAAUAGCGGACGCAUCAGCACUCUAGUCUCCUUUUUACAAUAAAUACGGGUAGAUUUUGUAAUCAGAUAUCCAUAUUUGUGUUCUAUAUCAGGACAGAGUCUACAAGGCUACCAAGUGGCUUUAGUACAAUGUCUUGUGAUAAACAGGUGUUUUUGAUUACAGCCAAAUUCGUUGCGCGACCUCGGCGAAUCCAAAAUCCUUGUCUCGUUUGGGAAUAGCGCUUAGUCAGACACGCUUUGGGGGCGGCUUGUCUGGUUUUGAUUGUUUGGUUUGCUUGACUACGCGCUAUUCCCAAACGAAGAAAAGAAUAUUCGAUUCUGUGAGGUCGCGCAACAACGAAUUUGGCUAUAGAAACAGCAUACUUUUAGCAGCAUCGUGUUGUCUUGGUUUUCAAUGUUCAUCACCACAAAGAUAGUUACAACAACAACAAUCAUCAUCAUCAUCAUCAUCAUCAUCACCAAUUGCAGCAGCAGUACUCACAAUACGCUCUACCUUAAUCGUCAUCAUCAUCUUCAUCACCAUUAAAACAUCACCUUCAACAUAACUGUAAUUGUCAUCAUCAUUAAAACCAUUAACAUCAAAACCGCCACUAGCACCAUCACCAUCAAAAUCAUCCAUCCGGCUUCCUCUACAUCACCACUGCCUUUGUCAUCAUCAUCACCACCGCCUUUGACGUCAUCAUCACCACCGCCUUUGUCAUCAUUUUCAAAACCAUCACCGCCUUUGUCAUCAUCAUCAAAGUCAUCACCCCAACUCAAUGAAAGGGCCCAAACUCAACACACCCCAACUCAAUGAAAGGGCCCAAACUCAACAUAAUACUUAGUGUAGUUAA